AUGGACGCUGGCGGCGUGCCUAAUACAUGCAAGUCGAGCGAACGGACGAGAAGCUUGCUUCUCUGAUGUUAGCGGCGGACGGGUGAGUAACACGUGGAUAACCUACCUAUAAGACUGGGAUAACUUCGGGAAACCGGAGCUAAUACCGGAUAAUAUUUUGAACCGCAUGGUUCAAAAGUGAAAGACGGUCUUGCUGUCACUUAUAGAUGGAUCCGCGCUGCAUUAGCUAGUUGGUAAGGUAACGGCUUACCAAGGCAACGAUGCAUAGCCGACCUGAGAGGGUGAUCGGCCACACUGGAACUGAGACACGGUCCAGACUCCUACGGGAGGCAGCAGUAGGGAAUCUUCCGCAAUGGGCGAAAGCCUGACGGAGCAACGCCGCGUGAGUGAUGAAGGUCUUCGGAUCGUAAAACUCUGUUAUUAGGGAAGAACAUAUGUGUAAGUAACUGUGCACAUCUUGACGGUACCUAAUCAGAAAGCCACGGCUAACUACGUG
rnacentral:rRNA from 1 species